rnacentral:sRNA from 1 species
AAAGAGGCCAAGUAGCGCUCCGCCCUGACACGCCGGCUCCGGUGGGCUCCAGCCGGCUACGCCGCGGCGGACAACGAUGCUGAAGGCCAAGAUCCUCUUCGUGGGGCCUUGCGAGGAUCCUAGAAUUUGAGAACCCGCAUGUUACCAGCAACAACAAAGGCACGGGCUGUGAAUUCGAGCUAUGGGACUGUGGUGGCGAUGCUAAGUUCGAGUCCUGCUGGCCAGCCCUGAUGAAGGAUGCUCAUGGAGUGGUGAUCGUCUUCAAUGCUGACAUCCCAAGCCACAGGAAGGAAAUGGAGAUGUGGUAUUCCUGCUUUGUCCAACAGCCGUCCUUACAGGACACACAGUGUAUGCUAAUUGCACACCACAAACCAGGCUCUGGAGAUGAUAAAGGAAGCCUGUCUUUGUGUAAGGAAACUGGAAUUUCUCUUCCUGUUUUGUCUUGAAUGUUUUGGACACCUACAUAUUGUCCUAUGUCCUAGAAACCAGCAGCUCUGUCCAGUUACUGAGCACCUACUGUACCCUAGACAAUUGUUGCCCUCUCCAUGUGAGUCCACUCUGUCUCUACUAAAAAUACAAAAAUUAGCCAGGCAUGAUGGCAGGCACCUGUACUCCCAGCUACUCAGGGGACUAAGGCAGGAGAAUUGCUUGAGCCCAGGAGGCGGAGAAUGCAGUGAGUUGAGAUCUCACCACUACACUCCAGCUUGUGUGAGAGGGCGAGACACCAUCUCAAAAAAAAGAAAAAGAAAGAGGCCGGGCGCGGUGGCUCACGCCUGUAAUCCCAACACUUUGGGAGGCCAGGGUGGGCGGAUCACUUGAGGUCAGGAGUUCUAGACCAACCUGGCCAACACGGUGAAACCCCAUCUCUACUAAAAAUACAAAAAUUAGCCAGGGGUGGUAAUGCAUACCUGUAAUCC